AAUUCGAUUGAGUUUGAUCCUGGCUCAGGACGAACGCUGGCGGCGCGCUUAACACAUGCAAGUCGAGCGAGAACUUGGACUUCGGUCCAGGGGACAGCGGCGAACGGGUGAGUAACACGUGAGUAACCUGUCCUCGGCACCGGGAUAGCCCGGGGAAACCCGGAUUAAUACCGGAUAGCCUUGCCGGCUUUCGAGCUGGUAAGAAAAGGUAGCUUCGGCCUCUGGCCGAGGAUGGGCUCGCGGCGGAUUAGCUUGUUGGCGGGGUAACGGCCCACCAAGGCGACGAUCCGUAGCUGGUCUGAGAGGACGAUCAGCCACACUGGGACUGAGACACGGCCCAGACUCCUACGGGAGGCAGCAGUGGGGAAUCUUGCGCAAUGGGCGAAAGCCUGACGCAGCGACGCCGCGUGCGGGAAGAAGGCCUUCGGGUUGUAAACCGCUUUCAGGAGGGACGAAGCCACUCGGGUUAAUAGCCCAGAGGGUGACGGUACCUCCAGAAGAAGCCCCGGCUAACUACGUGCCAGCAGCCGCGGUAAUACGUAGGGGGCAAGCGUUGUCCGGAUCUAUUGGGCGUAAAGAGCGUGUAGGCGGCCAGAUAAGUGGGUUGUGAAAACUGGAGGCUUAACCUUCAGACGUCGACCCAAACUAUUUGGCUAGAGUCCGGAAGAGGAGAGUGGAAUUCCUGGUGUAGCGGUGAAAUGCGCAGAUAUCAGGAAGAACACCCGUGGCUNANNCGGCUCUCUAGUACGGUACUGACGCUGA
rnacentral:rRNA from 1 species